rnacentral:rRNA from 1 species
GACGUAGGGCGCGAGCGUUGUCCGGAUUUAUUGGGCGUAAAGAGCUCGUAGGCGGUUUGUCGCGUCGGCCGUGAAAACUUGGGGCUUAACUCCAAGCUUGCGGUCGAUACGGGCAGACUUGAGUUCGGCAGGGGAGACUGGAAUUCCUGGUGUAGCGGUGAAAUGCGCAGAUAUCAGGAGGAACACCAAUUGCGAAGGCAGCUGGCUACACAAAUAUUGACACUGAGGCACGAAAGCGUGGGGAUCAAACAGG